rnacentral:rRNA from 1 species
AUUGAACGCUGGCGGCAUGCUUUACACAUGCAAGUCGAACGGUAACAGGCCUUCGGGCGCUGACGAGUGGCGAACGGGUGAGUAAUGCAUCGGAACGUGCCCAGUCGUGGGGGAUAACGCAGCGAAAGCCGUGCUAAUACCGCAUACGAUCUGUGGAUGAAAGCGGGGGACCUUCGGGCCUCGCGCGAUUGGAGCGGCCGAUGUCAGAUUAGGUAGUUGGUGGGGUAAAGGCUCACCAAGCCAACGAUCUGUAGCUGGUCUGAGAGGACGACCAGCCACACUGGGACUGAGACACGGCCCAGACUCCUACGGGAGGCAGCAGUGGGGAAUUUUGGACAAUGGGCGCAAGCCUGAUCCAGCAAUGCCGCGUGCAGGAAGAAGGCCUUCGGGUUGUAAACUGCUUUUGUACGGAACGAAACGGUCCUGGUUAAUACCUGGGGCUAAUGACGGUACCGUAAGAAUAAGCACCGGCUAACUACGUGCCAGCAGCCGCGGUAACAC